GGAGAAGCUUCAUCUGUCACCCCCUUGACUGCCAGGGUUGAUUCAGCUGAUCUGGCUGGACAGGGAAGUGUCCCGACCUCCACAGGUGGGUCUUCGAAUAAGACAGGUGGGGCUUCAAUGUAGGGCAUAUGAGCAGCUACACUCCCCUGUUAGAACCUCCAAACUAGCUCUCAAGGCCCAAAUGGCUCGCUGGUCGGAAUUUCCCUCUUUGCUUAUUUUGCUACCAUGGUUUACAUGUACCUAAUAAACCUU
rnacentral:snRNA from 1 species